UUCUCAAAAUGGAGACAAGUGGAUAUUGUCCUGGAAAGUUUAUUUCAACCUUUAAGUUUCCUGGAAUAAGUGAUGCACAUCAGGUGGCUGAUUUCACAAGUAUAAUUCUCUCUGGCAGGAAUUCUAGGAAGCCAUCAUUUUCAUCUUAGGCAGAAACUGAGAUUUUUGUUUUCUUUUAAUUAGUGUUUGUUUCUUCCCUUAGAAAAACAGGACAUAAAAGGAACCAGGAAACAGUUCCAAACAGAAUCCCUUUCCACGCUUGCAGGCUGUAUUUAAGUGAUGAAACCCAGGGAUGGAAGUUCCUAUCAGACGGAACAACUGUGGCUAUGAGAUUCAAGCAGGCCAGUAGACAGAAGCAAGCACUUCACAAGGGUGAAGAAACUGUAUGCUGUUCUUCAGGCGUAGGAACACUCAGGUAACCCUUUGGGAAACGUGGAGUAAACUGAGAAGGGGGUCAGAACUGGAGUCACGCCAGGCCCUGGCACGGCUCCUUGAUGGCCAUACCAGAUGUCUGAAUCAACUUCAGCAGAAAGGACAGGUGCUCUUUCAAAUCUGAAAAUACAAGCAGAGACAUAAGCUGAUUCUUGGUCUUCUUUGAAGGGAAGGUAAUUAAGAAGGAAGGCAUUUAGAGGAUAAAGAAGCAGAAGCCGAGGACCUGCCUUGGAUGAAAACUUCUCAGCUAAAUACCCACUAGGAAGUCAUUUUCUUUUCCUACUCAGAGAUAGUAAUGGCCCCAGGGUGUCAGACCUCCUCGCUCUUUUCUUGACCACAGAGAAGUCCUCAGCUGAUCAAAGUGGAGAAACCAUCCAUGGAGGCAGCUUUGUCUACCUGAGUGAGGACGUCCACACCUCCCUGAAGGACUGACUGUCCUCUGGACUUUCCCUAGUGGCAUGAUAGCACCUUCAAAAUGUCUGCACUUAAGGCAAAACAACCUUCAGGUUGGUGUCAAGGAAGGAAGAAGACAGGUUAACCCAAAUUAUACCCACUAGGGAUGUCGCCAGUGGGCAAGUGUGCUUUUCACAAGCCCACAAACAUAAACAACAAAUUAUGUUGGUGCCCUUUGACUGGAUUAGAAGCAAGGACACUGCAAAGGCAUUUUCCAAAGUUGGCUUUGAAUAAGCCCACUCUCCUUCCAACAGAUUUCUCUGUCUGUUAAAUAAAUUCUCCCAAGGAUUAGGUAUUCUAAGUUUUUUAUUAUUUUAAAGGUCCUCAGCCAGGCAAAUUCUUUUGGCCCCAGUGAGCAUUCUAUAGAUGACAUACUGCAGGGAUUGGCAAAAAGCCUGCAAAAUACAUCUCCUGGAAAUG